GAAAAAUAUAUAUAUAUAUUUUUAACAUUUAGACAGGACAAUAACAUCUCUGAAAAUUCCAAAGAGGUUUUCAAAAAGUUACACAGGACAGAAACAGACUGACUCUAAACCAUGGAGGUACCUGUGCUUUUCCCGUGUUGCUGUUCUCUGCAGCUCAGCACAGCAUCAGUGUGUGUCCAUGUGUUGACUCACAGCAAAGUAAAACCUGAGAAUGCAACAAUAACAACAAUAAAAUGCCACCCGCGCCCUCUGGUGACCAAGUCACUGUAUCACAAUUGGGCGUACCCCUGCAACCACAGGGCCCUCCAGUGGAUCAGAAGGAGAAAGAAGCUGCAGUCUCACUGAGUUUCCACACAUGCUGAGAGAGGCAGGCGGUUGGUUGUAUCCAUUCAUAGAGGAUCAGACAUCAUCAUCACUGUUCAUCACUGGAGCCACAUAGUCAGAAAGAUACCACGCAGCUGUACCAUGCAGUGGAAACCAGGCUUUAGAUUCGGAAGGCCCUUGCGAGUCAAUAUGUUAUGCGGGGCCCCUCUACCAGGAUCAAUGACCAGCUGGCAAUUACCUGUAGAGUGAGUAUGAGCAUUUCCUGAGGGCAUAGACGAGCCAGAGAGGACAGUUUCUUCAGAACUGAGGUGGUGUCAUGUCAUUACAAGUGCAUUGAUGAAUCCUCAAGCUUCAGUAAACCUGACAGCAGAUGUCUUGGGCUCCUGUGCACUUUCCACUGACUGAACUGACCAUUGAUGAAUAAAA